AAAUUGAAGAGUUUGAUCAUGGCUCAGAUUGAACGCUGGCGGCAGGCCUAACACAUGCAAGUCGAACGGUAACAGGAAGCAGCUUGCUGCUUUGCUGACGAGUGGCGGACGGGUGAGUAAUGUCUGGGAAACUGCCUGAUGGAGGGGGAUAACUACUGGAAACGGUGGCUAAUACCGCAUAACGUCGCAAGACCAAAGAGGGGGACCUUCGGGCCUCUUGCCAUCAGAUGUGCCCAGAUGGGAUUAGCUAGUUGGUGAGGUAACGGCUCACCAAGGCGACGAUCCCUAGCUGGUCUGAGAGGAUGACCAGCCACACUGGAAC
rnacentral:rRNA from 1 species